rnacentral:rRNA from 1 species
UACGGGGGGGGCAAGCGUUGUUCGGAAUUACUGGGCGUAAAGGGCUCGUAGGCGGCCAACUAAGUCGAACGUGAAAUCCCUCAGCUUAACUGGGGAACUGCGUCCGAUACUGAUUGGCUUGAAUCCGGAAGAGGGAUGCGGAAUUCCAGGUGUAGCGGUGAAAUGCGUAGAUAUCUGGAGGAACACCGGUGGCGAAGGCGGCAUCCUGGACCAAUACUGACACUGAGGAGCGAAAGCCAGGGGAGCAAACGGG